GACAGAGGGUGCAAACGUUGUUCGGAAUUACUGGGCGUAAAGCGCGUGUAGGCGGCUUGGCAAGUCGGUUGUGAAAGCCCGGGGCCCAACCCCGGAACUGCAUCUGAAACUGCCUGGCUAGAGUCCCGGAGAGGAAGGCAGAAUUCCCGGUGUAGGGGUGAAAUCCGUAGAUAUCGGGAGGAAUACCAGCGGCGAAGGCGGCCUUCUGGACGGUGACUGACGCUGAGACGCGAAAGCGUGGGGAGCAAACAGG
rnacentral:rRNA from 1 species